AUGAUUGUCUUACUUACUUACACUAUAUGUAUUCUGAUGGAGAAACGAUUCAAAUGCAAACUACAAAUAUCUAAACAUUGUAUUUUUUAGAAUAUACAUUAAGAGCCUAGUAUAGCUAUGUGAGUUCUUUUAACAUUUCAACAAGUGUUACUGAAAACUGCAUCUAGAUCAUUUUGUCCCAGAAACAGCUAUUAAAGAACGCAUUGGUCAUUUCCUCAUGUUAACCUUUGUUGAUAUACAUAACUAUUGAGCUCAUGCUGAGAGAUUACUCAUGCAGUAUUUGUCCUUGUGUGGGCUUUACCUGAGGCAGGUCUUGUAUCCAAGUGACAUUUGAAAAGACAAAUACAUCUCAUUUUAUCAAACGUUUUUGCUCUUUUGGAUGUCUGGUUGCUGUUGGCUGUGUAAUUCUCCUUUCUUUAACUCUAUUUCCCUGCCCCCUCUUAAGGUUUGACGACGAAAAAAAUAGGAAAAGCCGUAAAAGGAUCGACCAGGAAAUGCACGGCAAACUGGAGGUCGCAGCUGCUGCUGUUCCAGAGUGAUGCUGCUCGCACUGCCAGAUGUGGAGGAGGAGAAUGUUUCCAACAGCCACUCUUAUUUUUAUGUUCUGGACAACGUGACUGAAGACUUAGCUCAAGAAAGUGCCUUUUUGAAACUAUGCUGCCUGUUAUAACGUGGAACCUUUUUAUAGCUUGAUCUUCAGCGUUUUUCCACAUGCUGUCUGAAAUGUUUUUUAUCUUUUUUUUUUUUUUUUUAUGUACUGCCAAUAUAUCAUGUCAAACUUAGCUUGUUGGUGUUUUCUAGUUAAUGGUGUUUCCUAGUUAUUGGUGUAUCUACACAUUAUUUAAAGCACUCUGUUACAAAUGGUUGAUGCAUGUUCUGCUUUAUUACAUUGAAAUAUAUAUUUAUAUUCAAAAGGUGA